GAGGAUAUAGCUCAAGUGGUAGAGUGCAUGCUUAGCAUGCACAAGGUCCUGGGUUCAAGCCCCAGUACCUCCU
rnacentral:tRNA from 1 species